CACAUAUAUAAUCUUGGUAGAAAAGCACACUGUUUCAAUCACAAUGCAAACCAGAAAUGUCAAUAUGGUAUUAUGUAAUGUGCUAAUAAGGCCCAUAUUGUCACAUUUUUUAGACUGCAGGUUUGAAGCAGUUAGUAUGAAAUAUCUUCUCAGACAUGCAGUGCGUUGUCCCUGCCUGUCACACACAGAGUUCUUUGUUUGCUCACUACCUGAACUCCAGACAGCUCAACACCUGAUGGAAGUUGUUCUGUCUGGAACCUAUAACCCCUUCAUUGCCAAAGAGCUUAACAUCAUGUGGCAGACUGAUACAAUAACGAAGAGAGAGAGCAACAGGAACAUAACAGUUAUACAUCAAUAAGCAAUUCUUUAAACUUAUGUUUGGAUAGAAC